rnacentral:lncRNA from 1 species
GUUCAAGCCUAGUUGUACCUUCUCUUUUUGAGACUGGUUGUAGAGGUUGUUAUAUAUAUGAUAAGAUACUAGAGAUGUAAGGGGUAGAGGUAGUAGAGCUCGUGGGGGUGGUCAUGGGACCACUCAGGCAGUUGGUAGUUGUGGGGAUACCCAGGCAGCUGGUAGUCGUGGUCAGUGUUACACUAUACCAGUCAGAUCUGAGGCAGAGGC